ACACUGGUGGUUCAGGGGUAGAAUUUCUACUUUCCAAGCAGAAGACCCAGGUUUGAUUCCUGACCAGUGUA
rnacentral:tRNA from 1 species